rnacentral:rRNA from 1 species
CAUAGCGACUAUCGUGGCAUAUCAAUAAGGCGGAGGAAAAGAAACUAACAAGGAUUCCCCUAGUAACGGCGAGUGAAGCGGGAAGAGCUCAAAUUUGAAAUCUUAAAGGGUUUCCCUUUACGAAUUGUAGUUUAAAGAAGUGUUUUCUGUUGGAGUUUCGGUAAAAGUUCUUUGGAAUAGGACAUCAUAGAGGGUGAGAAUCCCGUAUUUGACCGUUACUUUCCAGCUGUGUGAUACACUUUCAAAGAGUCGGAUUGUUUGGGAAUGCAGUCCAAAAUGGGUGGUAAAUUUCAUCUAAAGCUAAAUAUUGGCGAGAGACCGAUAGCGAACAAGUACCGUGAGGGAAAGAUGAAAAGAACUUUGAAAAGAGAGUUAAACAGUACGUGAAAUUGUCAAAAGGGAAGCGUUUGACACCAGUGUUGUUUAGUUGAAAAUCAAUUCAAUAAUUUUUGAUUUUAAGUAGUAUUGACUUCAUCAGCUUGCUGCUUUCUUUUCAGGAAUUAUUGAAUGCACUUUUCAGUUAACAAGUCAACAUCAAUUUCUUUUGUUGUAAAAGGGUAAGAGGAAGGUGGCUUACGUUUCGGCGUAAGUGUUUAUAGCCUUUUACCUCUGCAAUCGGAGAGAUUGAGGACAGCAGCGUAGACUCCUUCUGGGGUUAGAUACACUUGUGCUAAGCUAUAGCCUUGUAUAGACAACUUGUUGACUAUGCUCAGUCAUGUAGCUUACUCGCUUGUGCUAUUUUACCUACGCUUAGGAUGUUGAUAGUCACAGCGUGUAC